rnacentral:rRNA from 1 species
AUUGAACGCUGGCGGCAUGCCUUACACAUGCAAGUCGAACGGCAGCACGGGAGCAAUCCUGGUGGCGAGUGGCGAACGGGUGAGUAAAGUAUCGGAACGUGCCCAGUCGUGGGGGAUAACGUAGCGAAAGUUACGCUAAUACCGCAUACGAUCUAUGGAUGAAAGCGGGGGAUCGCAAGACCUCGCGCGAUUGGAGCGGCCGAUAUCAGAUUAGGUGGUUGGUGGGGUAAAGGCUCACCAAGCCGACGAUCUGUAGCCGGUCUGAGAGGACGACCAGCCACACUGGGACUGAGACACGGCCCAGACUCCUACGGGAGGCAGCAGUGGGGAAUUUUGGACAAUGGGCGAAAGCCUGAUCCAGCCAUGCCGCGUGCAGGAUGAAGGCCUUCGGGUUGUAAACUGCUUUUGUACGGAACGAAAAGGUUUGGCCUAAUAAGCUGAGCUCAUGACGGUACCGUAAGAAUAAGCACCGGCUAACUACGUGCCAGCAGCCGCCGUAA